GACGAACGCUGGUGGCGUGCUUAACGCAUGCAGGCGGACGGAAAGGCCCCCUUGGGGGUACUCGGGUGGCGAAAGGGGGAGUAACACGGGGGUAAACUGCCCUUGACCUCGGGAGAACUUCAGGAAACUGGGGCUAAUACCGGAUAGGAAUUCUUUCUGCAGGGGUGGGGUUGGAAAUCUUCGGCGGUUUUGGGUGGACUCGCGGCUUAUCAGCUUGUUGGUGGGGUAGUGGCUUACCAAGGCUUUGACGGGUAGCCGGCCUGAGAGGGCGACCGGCCACAUUGGGACUGAGAUACGGCCCAGACUCCUACGGGAGGCAGCAGUGGGGAAUAUUGCACAAUGGGCGGAAGCCUGAUGCAGCAACGCCGCGUGCGGGAUGACGGCCUUCGGGUUGUAAACCGCUUUCAGCAGGGGCGAAGCUUGUGGUGACGGUACCUGCAGAAGAAGCACCGGCUAACUACGUG
rnacentral:rRNA from 1 species